UUCUGUAAAGCAAAUAGAUUUAUUAUGCACUUCAUGUACAUCGGGAUGGUUUUGAAUAAUAUAAUACAAGGAAUAAAAUAAAACUUUACACUGUGAAAUUCAAUGUACAUUUUAGGUUAUUUACACACCCCACACAGAGCGAACAACAGAAAAAAAGCAUUUGUCUGCAACUACACUUGCGGAAAGUGUUGACGAAGGGCAUUAAGCAAAACAAACAGCUGCACAGCCGAACAGCGGGACGACUUGUUCCUGUUUCUGAAGUUCUGGACUGGUUUUGGUUGAGGAAUCUGGUAGGGGUGGGAGAGGACGGAACAAAAGGUAUUUGUUGUAUACCACAGGGCACUGGUUUCUGCCCCUCUUUUCCCCCAAAGUUUCCUGGAUCCCUUCAGAUGCUUACUUCUCUGAUGUUUCGCCACUUGUCAUACCAGGGACACUAACCUUUGGGAAGAGGCUUAAAGGGACACUAUAGAAAAAAAAAAGUUACAAACACAUGGUGUCCUAAGCAGCUGAUUUACAAAAUUUAAAUAUUUGAAUUUCAAAAAUAGCCAUUUAUUAUUAUUUUUUUAAUUUGUGGGACCGUUUCUUAUCUUUGUAAUAGAGCAGACGUCAUUGCUUUUCCCAGUUGUGGUCCUAGUCCCCUCCCCCAUUCCAAAAUGAACAAGCACACCAAGCAGGCUGGCUGCAGCACCCUGGUCAAGCUGGGCCUCACCAGAAGCCAUUUUUGUUCUACUUUAAAUCAUAAUUAAUGAUGAAAACAAAAAACACCCCAAGGAAUACUUAUGAGAACCCUCUUUUUCCAACAGGUUCUCCCCCUACUGUCUAUUCCACACGCAUACAGAUGGACACAAAACACUUGGAAAACACAAAUCCCUAAUGCGUUGUCUUUGCCCUUUGGUCACAAGGUGCAACUUUGUAAAAUUAAUAAAAUUAAAUAAAUACAAUCUUAGUAAUUCAAAGUGAAUAGAAAAACUGGCAGCUUUUGGGUUAUCUUUCUUAAAAACAAAACAAACCACCUAAUAAGAAGAGGCUCCUCUUCUAUGGUAAAUGUGUGUGUGAGGAGUCACACUGGUUCCAGGAACAGGGUGUGAUCACACUUAUCCAACAGAUUCAGAAACACUUUUAAGGCUGCCUUCCAAGAGUCCUGUUAAGUGUCAUUAAUCAACGUCCCAUAGGGACAAGAAUCAAUCCUUGAAACAUUCACAUUUGACUUGUCAGUAUCAACCACAUUGUCACCUUAAAUCUGAGUGAGUUCAUCAGCUAUCCCUCAUCCUAGUUAUGACUGACAGAUGACACACAGGAAAUGAGUUUGGCUGACACUGAGAAACACAAGGCAAAGGAAGGCUUCCACAGAGACUCAAGUGAGAAACAUUCAUCACAAGCAAUUCCGCGUUUGAGCUUCCAUAAACAACAGUCCUUGUGCCCUUCACAUAAUGACCAUCACUGGCCUCUCACUAAAACAUUCCAAAGUUUUCAGUAGUAGCAAUGGUUUUGUGCUCAAUUUCCAAAUUCUCUUUCCCCAUUUCCCUUUAGCAACAGCAUGUGGAGAGCAUCUCCCCAAGGCUGGGGAGAUGAACAGGGCUCACUCAAGGAUCAAACCAUCCUUGGCUUCUGAGUCAUCCUUCCAAACGCUUGCCCAAUCCAUCUAAGCUGCUCC
ensembl:lncRNA